rnacentral:rRNA from 1 species
UACAGAGGGUGCGAGCGUUAAUCGGAAUUACUGGGCGUAAAGCGCACGUAGUCGGCUUUGCAAGUCGGGUGUGAAAUCCCCGGGCUCAACCUGGGAACUGCAUCCGAGACUGCAUUGCUAGAGUAUGGGAGAGGGAAGCGGAAUUUCUGGUGUAGCAGUGAAAUGCGUAGAUAUCAGAAGGAACAUCAGUGGCGAAGGCGGCUUCCUGGACCAAUACUGACGCUGAUACGCGAAAGCGUGGGGAGCAAACAGG